GGGUUGUUCCCACCACAGGGCCUACUGGGCGCCAGCACACUGGUAUCACGGUACUUUUGUGCGCCUNUUUUAU
rfam:Echovirus type 30 V/Finland/85 5' TTR gene sequence.